GGAGCAGAGACGCAAAUCAUCCGCCGUGUGGGACCAUUUUGAUGUCCUGGAGAAUAAGGUGAAAUGUCGAAUUUGCCAAGUCGAAUUGUCAUACACCAACAGAAGCACCUCCACCAUGCUGAGGCAUUAUCGGGCCAAGCAUGAGAAUGAAGUUCGCGAUACACCCAGUAUUACGCCAGGUUCCAGGAAGCAGCUGUACUGGAAGGACCAACACACUUCUUUCCCAAACCUCUCCCACCUCGCAAAGGAGUUCCUUUGUACGCCAGCCUCAUCCGUCCCUUGUGAGCGUGUGUUCUCCACAGCAGGAGAAAUUGCUUGUAAAAGACGCAACAGGCUGAAGUUUAAAACAUUGGAACAUCUUAUUUUUCUCAAUAAAAAUUUGUGAAGUCAA